GUUUGAUCCUGGCUCAGGAUGAACGCCGGUUUUGUGCCUAAUACAUGCAAGUCGUACGCACUUGCCCAACUGAUUGAUGGUGCUUGCACCUGAUUGACGAUGGAUCACCAGUGAGUGGCGGACGGGUGAGUAACACGUAGGUAACCUGCCUCGGAGCGGGGGAUAACAUUUGGAAACAGAUGCUAAUACCGCAUAACAACAAAAGCCACAUGGCUUUUGUUUGAAAGAUGGCUUUGGCUAUCACUCUGGGAUGGACCUGCGGUGCAUUAGCUAGUUGGUAAGGUAACGGCUUACCAAGGCAAUGAUGCAUAGCCGAGUUGAGAGACUGAUCGGCCACAAUGGAACUGAGACACGGUCCAUACUCCCACGGGAGGCAGCAGUAGGGAAUCUUCCACAAUGGGCGCAAGCCUGAUGGAGCAACACCGCGUGAGUGAAGAAGGGUUUCGGCUCGUAAAGCUCUGUUGUUGGAGAAGAACGUGCGUGAGAGUAACUGUUCACGCAGUGACGGUAUCCAACCAGAAAGUCACGGCUAACUACGUGCCAGCAGCCGCGGUAAUACGUAGGUGGCAAGCGUUAUCCGGAUUUAUUGGGCGUAAAGCGAGCGCAGGCGGUUGCUUAGGUCUGAUGUGAAAGCCUUCGGCUUAACCGAAGAAGUGCAUCGGAAACCGGGCGACUUGAGUGCAGAAGAGGACAGUGGAACUCCAUGUGUAGCGGUGGAAUGCGUAGAUAUAUGGAAGAACACCAGUGGCGAAGGCGGCUGUCUGGUCUGCAACUGACGCUGAGGCUCGAAAGCAUGGGUAGCGAACAGGAUUAGAUACCCUGGUAGUCCAUGCCGUAAACGAUGAGUGCUAGGUGUUGGAGGGUUUCCGCCCUUCAGUGCCGGAGCUAACGCAUUAAGCACUCCGCCUGGGGAGUACGACCGCAAGGUUGAAACUCAAAGGAAUUGACGGGGGCCCGCACAAGCGGUGGAGCAUGUGGUUUAAUUCGAAGCUACGCGAAGAACCUUACCAGGUCUUGACAUCUUGCGCUACCUUAGAGAUAAGGCGUUCCCUUCGGGGACGCAAUGACAGGUGGUGCAUGGUCGUCGUCAGCUCGUGUCGUGAGAUGUUGGGUUAAGUCCCGCAACGAGCGCAACCCUUGUUACUAGUUGCCAGCAUUAAGUUGGGCACUCUAGUGAGACUGCCGGUGACAAACCGGAGGAAGGUGGGGACGACGUCAGAUCAUCAUGCCCCUUAUGACCUGGGCUACACACGUGCUACAAUGGACGGUACAACGAGUCGCAAGCUCGCGAGAGUAAGCUAAUCUCUUAAAGCCGUUCUCAGUUCGGACUGUAGGCUGCAACUCGCCUACACGAAGUCGGAAUCGCUAGUAAUCGCGGAUCAGCAUGCCGCGGUGAAUACGUUCCCGGGCCUUGCACUCAACGCCCGUCA
rnacentral:rRNA from 1 species